GAUGAACGCUGGCGGCGUGCCUAAUACAUGCAAGUCGAGCGAACAGACGAGGAGCUUGCUCCUCUGACGUUAGCGGCGGACGGGUGUGUAACACGUGGAUAACCUACCUAUAAGACUGGGAUAACUUCGGGAAACCGGAGCUAAUACCGGAUAAUAUAUUGAACCGCAUGGUUCAAUAGUGAAAGACGGUUUUGCUGUCACUUAUAGAUGGAUCCGCGCCGCAUUAGCUAGUUGGUAAGGUAACGGCUUACCAAGGCAACGAUGCGUAGGCGAACUGAGAGGGUGAUCGGCCACACUGGAACGGAGACACGGUCCAGAGUCCUACGGGAGGCAGCAGUAGGGAAUCGUACGCAAUGGGCGAAAGCCUGACGGAGCAACGCCGCGUGAGUGAUGAAGGUCUUCGGAUCGUAAAACUCUGUUAUUAGGGAAGAACAAAUGUGGAAGUAACUAUGCACGUCUUGACGGUACCUAAUCAGAAAGCCACGGCUAACUACGUG
rnacentral:rRNA from 1 species